GGAAGUAAAAGUCGUAACAAGAUUUCCGUAGGUGAACCUGCGGAAGGAUCAUUCAUAAUAAGUGUUUUAUGGCACUUUUUUAAAUCCAUAUCCACCUUGUGUGCAAUGUCAGGGUUGAUUUUUCUCUCGAGAGGACCAGCCCCAAACAUCAACUAUAUCUCAACUCUUUGUCUGAAAAAUAUUAUGAAUAAAACAAUUCAAAAUACAACUUUCAACAACGGAUCUCUUGGCUCUC
rnacentral:misc_RNA from 1 species